GACGAACCGUCCAAACGUUAUUCGGAAUUACUGGGCUUAAAGGGUGCGUAGGCGGCGCGGUAAGUUGGGUGUGAAAUCCCUCGGCUCAACCGGGGAAUUGCGCCCAAAACUAUCGUGCUUGAGGGAGACAGAGGUGAGCGGAACUGAUGGUGGAGCGGUGAAAUGCGUUGAUAUCAUCAGGAACACCGGUGGCGAAAGCGGCUCACUGGGUCUUUUCUGACGCUGAGGCACGAAAGCUAGGGUAGCGAACGGG
rnacentral:misc_RNA from 1 species